rnacentral:lncRNA from 1 species
UAGGCCCUACCUUAUUCAACUCUAACUGAAAAAUGGAGAGCAAGAAAGGAUUAUGUAAGAAAAAAUGAAAAACUUUGAGGGCCAACUAACAGAUUUCCUAAACUAAUGAUGUAUUUUAAUAUUCCAGGGAUUUGAUUUAGGAAAAAUUGUUAUUUGGAUGGAUGCUUGUCUAUUGAGAGAGUAAUUGUUAAACUAAAGGAAACUGGUCACAAAUACUUUAGCAAUGGCUAUAAAUGACCAGUGGGCCAAGGAUUUUGAGAUCGUGAGAGACUUCUCCAGGAAUGUUGUCAUUCAUUUCACUCCAGUGUGGCUCUUUUCCUCCAUCUGCGCAUAAAUGACUUUGGGAGAAAACUCUGAGUCUCAUGUUUUAUUUUUCCUGAUAAUGCUGUUCAAUUAGGGCAGACUUUGUGGAAAUUCUGAUUUCAUUACCCAUCACUGCUGCAUGAAAAUACGUUUUCUGAAGUCAUGCUCUGAAAGAAACUAAGUUGUUUGCUACAACUACCCCUACACAGAAAUUAGAAAAUUAUAUGACAAGAAGUUUACUUCAGCCUGCAGUUGGGACAUAGGUUAUUACUGAAAGUAGUCGUCGGCAUGGUUUCUGGUUUCACAGUAAAAGAAGACGACUUGAAAGGACUCAGUGGUUUUGAUGCUCUUCUGAAAUGAAAACACUCAGUGAGCACAUAGCAUUGGGUUGUCAUUAAUGUCAGCCAAGCGAAAACACUGUCUCCAUGAACACUGCAGUCAUUUCCCCGCCGAGACCAUGACUUUCCACUCCCUGGCAUUUCGGGCACUGUGCUAGUACUUUUCCAAAAGAGACUCUUAAGGCAAUUCAUUCUAGAUAAUCAAACACACAUAACAGUCUUAAAUGAAUAGGUGGCCUGAAUUUGCUAAAGUCAGCCAACAAUUUCCAGGGGAGAAUGUGUUAUUUUCUGAGAA